rnacentral:rRNA from 1 species
UAAAAAUUUUCCGGGGCUAAAAGGGGGGGGUUGUGGUUUUCCCCUUUUUUUUUUGGGGUUUUCCCUCUCCAGAUUGAACGCUGGCGGCAGGCCUAACACAUGCAAGUCGAGCGGCAGCACGGGUACUUGUACCUGGUGGCGAGCGGCGGACGGGUGAGUAAUGCCUAGGAAUCUGCCUGGUAGUGGGGGAUAACGCUCGGAAACGGACGCUAAUACCGCAUACGUCCUACGGGAGAAAGCAGGGGACCUUCGGGCCUUGCGCUAUCAGAUGAGCCUAGGUCGGAUUAGCUAGUUGGUGAGGUAAUGGCUCACCAAGGCGACGAUCCGUAACUGGUCUGAGAGGAUGAUCAGUCACACUGGAACUGAGACACGGUCCAGACUCCUACGGGAGGCAGCAGUGGGGAAUAUUGGACAAUGGGCGAAAGCCUGAUCCAGCCAUGCCGCGUGUGUGAAGAAGGUCUUCGGAUUGUAAAGCACUUUAAGUUGGGAGGAAGGGCAUUAACCUAAUACGUAAGUGUUUUGACGUUACCGACAGAAUAAGCACCGGCUAACUCUGUGCCAGCAGCCGCGGUAAUACAGAGGGUGCAAGCGUUAAUCGGAAUUACUGGGCGUAAAGCGCGCGUAGGUGGUUUGUUAAGUUGGAUGUGAAAUCCCCGGGCUCAACCUGGGAACUGCAUUCAAAACUGACAAGCUAGAGUAUGGUAGAGGGUGGUGGAAUUUCCUGUGUAGCGGUGAAAUGCGUAGAUAUAGGAAGGAACACCAGUGGCGAAGGCGACCACCUGGACUGAUACUGACACUGAGGUGCGAAAGCGUGGGGAGCAAACAGGAUUAGAUACCCUGGUAGUCCACGCCGUAAACGAUGUCAACUAGCCGUUGGGAGCCUUGAGCUCUUAGUGGCGCAGCUAACGCAUUAAGUGACCGCAUGGAGACGCCGAACCUUGG